rnacentral:rRNA from 1 species
UACAGAGGUCUCAAGCGUUGUUCGGAUUCAUUGGGCGUAAAGGGUGUGUAGGUGGCGCCGUAAGUCGGGUGUGAAAUUUCGGAGCUUAACUCUGAAACUGCAUUCGAUACUGCGGUGCUUGAGGACUGGAGAGGAGACUGGAAUUCAUGGUGUAGCAGUGAAAUGCGUAGAGAUCAUGAGGAAGACCAGUGGCGAAGGCGGGUCUCUGGACAGUUCCUGACACUGAGACACGAAGGCCAGGGGAGCAAACGGG